rnacentral:tRNA from 1 species
GGAGAGUUGCUAGAGCGGUCAAAUAGGACGUCCUGCUAAGGCGUAAGACUUAGACAAGUCUCGACGGUUCGAAUCCGUCACUCUCCGCCA